CGCUGCGACGACGAUCUACUUACUACGCCUCGAGUGAGUAAUCCAGCCCUUGGAAUCUUGGAUCAUGAUGAGCUCGCUGAUGGCGCGGCUGGCUGAUCAUCUGCUGGCCUACCUGUUCCCCGCGGCGCUGCUUCUGCUGCUGCUGCGGCCCAGCUGCCAAAAAAGCCACGUAACCCCCUCCGGCGCCCCGGCCGAGCGCGCUCCGGCGAGCAAUUGGAGAUUAUUCGACGCCAAGGCGAUUGAUCAAGGGGUCGCGUACGUGCUGAUGCUCGCAGCACUCUUCGUCACGUACGUGUUGCACUGAUCGAGUUGCACAGAACAUAUCCAACACCGGUGUAAUAUGGCUAUAUAUAUUCGCAAUUAGGCAGAACAAAGAGAGACUUAAGUUGUUGAGUACUACCGUUGUUCCCGUAUAUCUAUGUGCAUAUCAGAGCAAGAAUAAUAAUGAUCUAUAGGCUGACUAUAAGAAUUUAAA